rnacentral:rRNA from 1 species
CAAUAGCGUAUAUUAAAGUUGUUGCAGUUAAAAAGCUCGUAGUUGGAUUUCGGGGCGGCCUGUCUGGUCCGUCGCGAGACGAGUACUGGUCAGCCGCCCUUCCUCUCGAAAGCCCCGACUGCUCUUAACUGCAGUGGUCGGGUAGUUCGGGACGUUUACUUUGAAAAAAUUAGAGUGUUCAAGGCAGGCUCUGGCCUGAAUACAUUAGCAUGGAAUAAUGGAAGAGGACCUCGGUCCUAUUUUGUUGGUUUCUGGGGCCGAAGUAAUGAUUAAGAGGGACAGUUGGGGGCAUUCGUAUUUAAUUGUCAGAGGUGAAAUUCUCGGAUUUAUGAAAGACGAACAACUGCGAAAGCAUUUGCCAAGGAUGUUUUCAUUAA